AGGAGGGUAAAGAGCCAACUAAUAGCAGUGAUGCUCCUGAGAAUAAUCCACAGUACACAACAGUUUAUGUUGGCAACCUAGCCCCAGAAUUGGAUAGAAAACCUUCCAAAUGUGUGGUUUUUGAAGACGACCCUGGAGGUAUAACCGCCGCUCAUGCAUUACUUUAACGACACACUUAUGAAUAAUGUAAUUUAAAAUUUCCAACCCGGGUUUCUACCCGGGUGAUACUACCAAAUGGCACCGACAGGGAGAUUUACAUCGGUUUACAAAAUUUGUAUGGCUACAACUACUUGAGAUUUAAUAGCUUUAACGGGGAAAUACCCAGGAGCUUGCUAAUCUUCCAGAGCUACAGUAUCUUUAUCUGCACCAAUAUCGACUCAUUGGACAUAUACCACAAGAAUUGGACUCCUUACGAAAGCUUCACCAUUUGUACAGUUCAUCUUUCUUACUAUUGCUCUGUUACAUUUAUAAAUUUAAAUGGCACUGAUGAUCUGAGUGAGAAAUUUAUUU